CAGCCGCCGCGGUAAUACGAAGGGGGCUAGCAUUGCUCGGAAUGACUGGGCGUAAAGGGCGCGUAGGCGGCGGCCAAAGUCAGGCGUGAAAUUCCCGGGCUCAACCUGGGGGCUGCGUUUGAUACUUGGUUGCUUGAGUGGGGAAGAGGGUCGUGGAAUUCCCAGUGUAGAGGUGAAAUUCGUAGAUAUUGGGAAGAACACCGGAGGCGAAGGCGGCGACCUGGUCCUUGACUGACGCUGAGGCGCGAAAGCGUGGGGAGCAAACAGGAUUAGAUACCCCCGUAGUCCCUGUCUCUUAUAC
rnacentral:rRNA from 1 species